GGUGGCUCAGUGGAUAGAGUGCUUGCCUUGCAUGCAUGAGGCCCUGGGUUCGAUUCCUCAGCACCA
rnacentral:tRNA from 1 species